rnacentral:pre_miRNA from 1 species
CCCACACCCAUGUAUGUAGGACUCAAAAGGAUCAUCAUUAAAUUUGGCAUAGAUCUCUAGAAAAGUUAUCACGUAGGUGUGAGACUUGACUUUUCUAGAUAUCUGUGUCAAAUUUAAUAGUGAUCAUUUAGGGUCCUACAUACAUGGGUGUGGG